AUGGCCAUCUUCGACGAAUUCUAUGUUGGGUCCAUCGACCUUGGGCGCCUCAACUAUGGGAUCAUCUCGCUGAUCCCAAAGGUGCCUGGGGCGUCCGACAUCCGCCAGUUUCAUCCAAUCACGGUGAUUAAUGUGAUCUUCUGGAUCCUGGCAAAAGGGUUCGCCAAUAGGGUGACCCUUCUUGCCGACCUCAUUACCCACCCCAACCAAUCUACCUUCAUUCAAGGCCAGUAUAUCCUGGAUGGGGUGCUAGUCCUUCAUGAAGUCCUGCAUGAGGUCCGAUCAAAGCACCUCAGGGCGGUCUUCCUGAAGAUCAAUUUCCAUAAGGCUUACGACAAUGUUAGCUGGCCCUUCCUUCGAGAAGUUUUG
rnacentral:rRNA from 1 species